rnacentral:rRNA from 1 species
UACGUAGGUGGCAAGCGUUGUCCGGAUUUACUGGGCGUAAAGGGCGUGCAGGCGGUUUGUUAAGUGCAGGGUGAAAGCUCCCGGCUCAACUGGGAGAGGUCCUUGCAUACUGGCAAACUCGAGGGAGGCAGAGGAAAGUGGAAUUCCCGGUGUAGUGGUGAUAUGCGUAGAUAUCGGGAGGAACACCGGUGGCGAAGGCGGCCCCCUGGUUGGAUACUGACGCUGAGACGCGAAAGCGUGGGGAGCAAACAGG